rnacentral:rRNA from 1 species
GAUGAACGCUAGCGGCGUGCCUAACACAUGCAAGUCGAACGUGAGGGUGACUUCGGUUGCCUGAAAGUGGCGGACGGGUGAGUAAAACGUAGGUAACCUGCCUUUGAGUGGGGGAUAACCAUUAGAAAUGAUGGCUAAUACCGCAUGGUUUUGUGAAGUAGGGAUAUUUCGCAAAUAAAGCUUUGGCGCUCGGAGAGGGG